UUUCCCCUCAAAAAAAAGUUAAUGCUAAGGAGGUUAAUUUUUACUUUUCUGGCAGUGAACUUUGCACUGUUGAUGUCAAGCGAGGCACCAUGUUAGCCAAUCAAUGAGCAGUGACUGGGCUGAACCAAUCCAAAUGCUCACUUACUCAGUUUUAGUUCACAAAAGUGUUUUCCAAAAGUGGUACAUUUGCAAGCUAUUUUAAUACAAAUGCACGUGCUCGCGAUGUUGUGAGCACACAACUAGAUGACUUGAUGUGGAUUAUUGGACAAGAGUGCUCGGAGAUUGAUUUUGUUUGCUGUUGUAUAGCAUCAGGCACCAUAGAUGGCUAUUCGAUCAUAAAUGUUAUCAUUGUCGUUCUGUGUUCUGCAUGAAAACAUGGAUUUUUUUUUUCUGCGCCAUAACUACAAACUAUAAGUAAGUAAUGUCUAGAAAAGAACAAUUUCGGGUGGGGUGUCCCAUUCCACUUAAGAAAUUUGCUCAGCUAACUUAAGACAGAUGUUACAUGUAGUCCCAGUAAAGGGCAUCCUUUAAAGUCACCGUUUUUCUCUUUAGUCUCACACAUUAAGCACAAGCUGACACCAUAAAGGUAAAUAAAUUUUUUAUUUACAGUAUUCUGUCAGAUACACAACGUUUUACAUGUACUGUCUACCCACAUUAAAUUCACUUCAAGAGCUCAUCAUACAGAUAAGUUUACUUCACAAUAUACUUUUGCUAACAUCAUUGUGAAGGUAAUAAAAAUCCUUGCAAGUAGCUGCCUCUUCCUGUGUUUAAAAACGCAUCAGCGGGUCUAGACAGUGUCUCAGUGCAACACUAGGCCAGUACUGCUAAAACAAAUGGUGGCUUUCUUCUGGAAGUGCAGCGUGGUACCGGAGACUUCCUCAGUGUUCCUGAUUUGUCAAUCCAGUAUCCAAGUAGUAAUCACAAGGUUCCAUCAUUCUGAACAGCUUGGAGUGAUGGAUACUCAAGAAACGUGACCUUGUCCUCUGCCUUCAAAAAUGUUACCCUCGUGUCCAAUCCCCAACCUUUGCUUUUUGGUCCCAUUUUGUUUAUAAGUACAUUGGAGGAUUUGGUAUGCACAAGCUGUCUGGUUAUACCGGAAAGAA